CUCUGACCUCUGACCUCAAAUCAGGUAGGACUAGCCCGCUGAACUUAAGCAUAUCAAUAAGCGGAGGA
rnacentral:rRNA from 1 species